UUGCCCACUCAUUGUAAUUUUGUUCUUUGAGUGGCCAUGAAUAAGGGAUAGAAAAACUCUUCUUUAAAACCCAGAGCAUCAGCUACUGUAUGCUUUGGUUCCUGUCAGGAAGGACAAAA